rnacentral:rRNA from 1 species
UACGAAGGGGGCUAGCGUUGCUCGGAAUCACUGGGCGUAAAGCGCACGUAGGCGGAUUUUUAAGUCAGGGGUGAAAUCCCGGGGCUCAACCUCGGAACUGCCUUUGAUACUGGAGAUCUUGAGUCCGGAAGAGGUAAGUGGAACUGCGAGUGUAGAGGUGAAAUUCGUAGAUAUUCGCAAGAACACCAGUGGCGAAGGCGGCUCACUGGCCCGGUACUGACGCUGAGGCACGAAAGCGUGGGGAGCAAACAGG